GCUCUGUUAACUCAGUUGGUUAGAGUGUAGUGCUAAUACAGCCAGCCAGACCCUCCCACCGAGGCGAUGGCUGGUCGUAACGCUAAAGUCACAGGUUCGAUCCCUGUACAGAGCA